rnacentral:sRNA from 1 species
UUAUAUAUUUUUAAAUCAUCUUUACAAUAAAAAAUUUUAGUUUAACUAAAAUAUAAACCUAUCUGCGGUAUACUGCAGGUUAAUAUCUAGAUUAUAGGGCUUAUUGGAUCUAAAGACGGAUCAUCAAAGAUUUUCUAAACUGAAGCAAAAUAUAUUGAAUAUUCGAAUAUCUAUCUGUUACCAAAUUAUAAACAAAUAAGUUCGUAAAACAAUUUAGUAU